CCCCCCCCCCCCCCCCCCCCCCCCCCCCCCCCCCCCCCCCCCCCCCCCCCCCCCCCCCCCCCCCCCCCCCUGGGGCCGCCCGCAGCGGCGCUGUGCCCGCGCACCGCGCUCCGCGCACGCGCGGCCGCUCCGGUUCCGGCCGCGCCGCCCGCCGGGGCCGUGUGUCUGUGUGUCCGUGUGUGUGUCCAUCCGUGUGUCCGCGCGUGUGUGUGUCCGUGUGUCUAUCCGUGUGUCCGUGUGUCCGUCCGUGUGUGUGUGUCUGUGUGUGUGUGUGUGUCCGUGUGUGUGUCUGUGUUCGUGUCUGUCCGUCCGUAUCUGUGUGUGUGUGUCUGUGUGUGUGUGUGUCUAUGUCCGUGUGUCUCUGUGUGUGUGUGUCUGUGUGUGUGUCUGUGUGUGUGUGUGUGUGUGUGUGUGUCUGUCUGUGUGUGUGUCUGUGUUCGUGUGUGUGUCCAGCUAUGUGUGUGUGUGUGCGUGUGCGUGUCUCCGUCUGUGUGUCCAUGUGUGUCCGUGUGUCCGUCUGUGUGUCCGUCCGUGUGUUCCUCUGUGUGGCCUUGUGUCCGUCCGUGUGUCCAGCCGUGCCCGUCCGUGUGUCCGGCCGUGUGUCCGUGUGUCCGGCCGUGUGUCCGGCAGUGCUUCCCCCCGAGAAGCCCCCGAUCAUCGCCGCCGAGCCCGUUCUCCCCUGUCUCCACCCCAGCAGCCGAGAUCACCGGCCCCAGCCGGCGCCCUGCCCUGGCCGCGCCUCUCUACCCCGAUAAAAGGGAAUUGUUUUCUUUUAAUUACAGUAAUACAAUAAUAAAAGCAAUGAUAACACCCCCUCCCCUCCUUCGGUCCUGCGUGUCCGCCCGUGCUGGCCCGGCGCUGCCGGGCGGCGGAUGGAGGAUGCGGGAGGGGACCGGGAUGCUCCAGGGAUGGAUGCGCCCCAGGAGAAAACCGCGAGAAAAAGGUUCAAAACAACGAGGGGCCGGCACCUGCUUUCUGCUUCAUCCAAAUCCGUGCUUUGUCGGGCCUGGGUAA
rnacentral:lncRNA from 1 species